AGGGAUUUUAUCGUCCCACCAAACACACACAAAAAUUCAUGUGAAGCAAUGCAUAAAUUGUUUAUUUAGUCGAAUUUACAUUGUGAUGCGGCAUCUGUGGGAGCGACACACACCGCACUUGACAGAUGGAGGGAGCGUGGGGGAAGGGCGAGUGAUGACCCUGCGCGCACGCGCAAUAACCGCACCAACCCCCUCCCCCCACCCCAUCAGCAGCUUCGGCCGCUUUCCCUCCCUUCGCGUAUUUUCUACAGCUCUGCAAGAAGCGUGAGAGGGCGGGGGGGACGAUGAGGUGUUUCGCCAUCGAAGGGGCCGGGCGAAGGGUACAGAGAAAACCGUUGCAAAGAAGCAAGGAGAGAACGAGGGGCAGGGGGGCGGCGCGGGAGCAACCCUAAACCCGCCAAUCAAGAAGAAGAGGCAGCUGAGGGACUCGCGUCUCAGCCAGUUAUAGUUCGUGGAGGGUGGUGAGGAGGCGGGAGUAGCAGCUGUCGGAGAGCAGAUGACAACAGGGCGGCGGCGAGCAAACGAAGCAAUAGGGUUCCCACAGCCCCGUGACAGGCGAAUGCCAAAGCAGAGCGACCAAUGGGCGUGAGGAGGAAGGAAGGCCAAUAGAAAAGCGGCUUGCCCGCAUGCGCAGCUGGAUGGAGGGGAGGCGGGUGGAGAGCUGCGUCGUGCGCGGGCCCCGCCUCCCUCCCUUCUCCCCCCUCCCCCUGCCGCAGAGCCGUUGCUGAGGGAGCGGAGGGCGGCCAUUUUGUGAUGCUGGGUAGGGGCGCGGGUGGGGGAGGGGGAGGAGAGGAAGGCUUCGCUGAGAGGCAAUGAAGACGGGCACAGACUUCACUUCCCUCGCUCCCUCACACACACGCACAUACGGCACAAGAUGGCCGGGGAGACAGGAGCCUCCGCUGGUCGCUGCUGCCGUUUCCCUCCCUGUCCCAGCCGCCUGUUCCUCCGGCCACCCCCCUGGCCCGAGGCGGCCGCUCACUUGAGGAGUGGGGAGGCUCUCCGGCUGGGCCCAGGCUCCUGAAAUGGAGGGUGGCCUGUCCGACCCCCAACUCCUCAGAAAAACAACCGCAAAGAGAGGCGCCUAUGCGGCAGGGCUGGCUCGGCUCGUCCUCGGGGCGGCGGCGGCGAGAGCGGCUGCGGCUGCGCCCGGCGAGCCCCUUUUGGUAUGCCCGCCUCGUCUCUCCGGCUUUGGGUGGUAAGUAUCGUCCGCCCUUUCAGCCCUCCAUGUCCUCCUUCUCCGCCAUUGUCUCUUUGUCCUUGAGAAAGGAGAGCCGCCUGGGAGAGGCAGGUGGUGGUUUGUCGGGAAAGAACCGCCGGCCAUCACUUUUAGCCGUCCCUCGACGCCUUUUUUCACUCGGGGCAAAGGCGGAUUUAGGGUCCUCUCCUUCCAGUUGGGGGUCCUGUUUCCCCACCUCCCAAUUAAAAUCGGUGUGGGGGGGAAAAGGUGCUGAGUGUUAAGGCUUCCUGGGACAGGACAUGAGAACCUAGGCAGGAAAGACACAAUUCACUCCUUCGCCUGGGCUUUUUUAUGAUUAUGGGAAGGAAAAGGGCAAGACCUAAGCCCCCUUCCUAAUUUUCCCCAUUUCGGGGCACCUUGGCAGCUGGAGUUGGGCGAGGGGGGUGCCACGUAAAAAGAGCGGCAGAGGAAGGAAAAAGACCCGGUUCCUCGCCCUUUACCUGUCAAGUCUUGGGUAUGUAUUAAAACUCACACUUUGAUGUGUGGCUUCUUAAUCGGAAUUAGGGGUGCCCAUGAGGGGCUUCUGGGAGCAAGGGCAAAACCUGAUAAUCAAGGCUGGGUUGGAAAGAAGCCAUCACCCUGGUUUCUUUCUCGCUUUAUUUACUGAGCAUGUUCUUGUUUGUAAUUUAAAGGGGUGUUAAAGUACCCCUUCUCCAUUUUGAAGGAGUUCCUAAAUUGAAUUAGGGGUUCUGUCUCUAUAGACUCCCGAUCUAGGCGCAGAACCUGGUCUUCAAGGAUGUUGGUGUCAAACCAGAGCCGCCAUUUGAGCCAGAGUUUUUCUUCUCUCUUCUCUGUUGCCUCCCCCCAUCUUAUGCACCAUUUCUUUUUUUUGCGGGGGGUGGUGGUAAUUAAUCCGCAACAUUAAGGACUUGAUGCACUUCCCCCUUAAUAUUGAUUGAAAAAGGUCUGUGUGGGGUUUUUUUUUGCAAACUAUUUUCUUGCUAUAAUUAAUCCUGAAGGGCAGAUAUUUUGUAAUGCAGCUUGUUGUUGCCCCAAUGCAGCAUUUGUGUAGGGCAUCAUAGGGUGGGGGUCUGCAGCAAAUGUAGACUGCACCCCUUUACAGUAUUUGGAGGAGGGAAAUCAAAGGUGCCUUAUAUGUCUUCUGCAAACUCCUAAGUACUUUGAAAGGGAGCUGUUGUUCACCAUUGCUUCUGAAAAGGGGAAACAAUCCAUUUCUAUUUUGGUAAGAACAAAAGACGCCAUGUCUGUUCUUUCUCUCAAAUAUAAAACUUGUUUUUCUGUAUGUAGGGUGUUGGCUUUUAACUCUUUCUAAACUACCAGUAGAAAAACAGGCUGUGGAAAAAACUACUUUGAAAUGAUAUGUUGAAAAUAUAUAUACACAGACAAUUUAUUUGUGCGUGUGUUUUAACCUGAAAGUGCCAGUGAUGCCUUUUUAUGCUUUGGGCUUAAGAUGAAAUAUUUAGUGAGCUUAUUUAAAUGCAUAAGGAUUUUUGAUAUGUGCCAAUUGUACAGUUGAGUGAACUUCUAAAUUAGAACUGGAAAACAUAAGUGGAAAGUGCAGCUUAGUAAAAUGGGAUGCAGUAGGAUAAAAAUAAGAAAUUAGGAGUUUAAAAGUCAUAGAGGGGAUUUUUUAUUUUAAGUAUGUCAAUAUGUCUCAGAAGCAUCUAAUUUUCUGUUGUUCUUAAUGGAGUAAAUUUAAUUUUAAAAUCUAUUUCCUUUUACCUGAAUUAAUAGUAAAUGCUUAAAAUGGAAUAUUGAGCAAUUGAUUUUCCUUGGUUUCCUGGAGUCUUUUAAUACUUGGAUGCUAUGCCUUAAAAUUUGGGGUUUCUGUUUGUAGAAGAACUGCAAUUAUAUUUUGUUCAGGUGUUGUGUUAACUUCCUUGUCCUUGUUCUAGAAUCUUCCUGUUCAGGCUUACCAUUUAGGUGGCUUGGACACUGUGUGACAUAAGAAAUUUAUCAGAGAUAAAGUUCUACCAAUGAAAUGAGUAGUUGGUAUAUCUUUAGCAUGUUAGCAAAUUUAUUUUAUAUUUUUGAAGCUUAUUAGUUUAAACUGAUGAUAGAACCACUAUUUGCCAUGCAGAUAACUCAGUUUUAUUUUUUAGGUAUGUAUAUAUAUUAAAGAAUCAGUAUCAGUGGUUAAUUUAAUGUAUCUUCUGAAAUUGUGAUCUUCUAAAAAAGAGGAAAUUUAUAGUGUGCUGUUAUGAAUAAAGUUAAGUGUGACCAAGUUACAUAAAGACUUCUACAUCAAUGCAAGAAAACAGAUGAAUUCAAGUGCAAACAUGAGGGUUGUAGAAUUUAGAUACUUCACGGAACUAAUAAAGAUGAAAACUUCACAGAGACUCAGAAACAACACUUAGAAGAUGAUCAGUUUAGGUUGUCUGCUUUGGAGUUUCAAAGUGGUGGUAAAAUAUUAAGUGUGUUGCUGUUUGAUGUAACUACUCAGAAUUUUGAGAUUAAAUACUGUAUAAAGGGUAAACACUUUUGAGAGUAAAUGCAAAGGGUAAGCACUUUUGACUAAUACUUUUACCUUCAGAUAUACUCACACUAGCUUGAACAGUGGUUUAGGGAUAAACAUCCAUAACGAUGCUGUUACUAUUUUGUAUAUGAAAGUGCAAAUUGAACAAAAAGCCUGUUAUGCCUUUAUUAGUUAUGUUAUGCUAAGUUAGAAAAUUGCUUAGCUUUAGAAAUGCAGCUAGCACAGACAACCCUUCCAAAACAUAAUAUGCCGCUACGACAAAUAUGAAACACUUUUAGAUAAACCUAAACAUGCUUUUCCUUGUUUAGGUAUUCGUGAAUGUUUACUACUUCUGUAACAACUGUGUUUCAGAUGACCUGUACAGACUUACUGUUUGUUAAGGUAAGAAUGGUUUUGAACUUCAUUUUUUGUCCUGUACACUGUUUUCAGUAUGCUGAUUAGUUGUAUAUAAUUUCCCCUAAUAAGAAUGAAAUAAUGAAUUCUGUUAAAAUUGAAUGCAGUGUGGUUGUUUCUAUUUAUCUUAAUUUUUAAUUGAAUAAAGAAUAAAUCUAAGAUUUCUGACUAAUAAAACGAUUAGUGAGAAUACCUAAUUGGAAAUAUUUUCAAUUGAAAAUCAACAGGACUUUUUCUAAGUAAGUGGCUUAUGGUCGCCAUCGAAGGUAGCAAUAGGAUAUGCUUCAGGAAGCCAGUGAUAAAUAAGUAGCAUUUACUUCUAAAUUUAGAUAUAUUUAGAAUUAGAUUGCAACUUUAGGAAGUGAAUACGCAGUGGGC